GUGAGGAAUAUUGGUCAAUGGGCGGGAGCCUGAAUCAGCCAAGUCGCGUGAAGGAAGAAGGAUCUAUGGUUCGUAAACUUCUUUUGCAGGGGAAUAAAGUGCAGGACGUGUCCUGUUUUGUAUGUACCCUGAGAAUAAGGAUCGGCUAACUCCGUGCCAGCAGCCGCGGUAAUACGGAGGAUCCGAGCGUUAUCCGGAUUUAUUGGGUUUAAAGGGUGCGUAGGUGGUUUGAUAAGUCAGCGGUGAAAGUUUGCAGCUUAACUGUAAAAAUGCCGUUGAAACUGUCGGACUUGAGUGUAAAUGAGGUAGGCGGAAUGCGUGGUGUAGCGGUGAAAUGCAUAGAUAUCACGCAGAACUCCGAUUGCGAAGGCAGCUUACUAAGCUACAACUGACACUGAAGCACGAAAGCGUGGGGAUCAAACAGGAUUAGAAACCCCUGUAGUCC
rnacentral:rRNA from 1 species